rnacentral:rRNA from 1 species
AAAAAAGGUAAGCUACUAAGAGCGAAUGGUGGAUGCCUUGACUGGUAAAGGCGAUGAAGGACGUACUAGACUGCGAUAAGCUACGGGGAGCUGUCAAGAAGCUUUGAUCCGUAGAUUUCCGAAUGGGGCAACCCAAUGUAUAGAGAUAUACAUUACCUAUAUAGGAGCGAACGAGGGGAAUUGAAACAUCUUAGUACCCUCAGGAAAAGAAAUCAAUAGAGAUUGCGUCAGUAGCGGCGAGCGAAAGCGUAAGAGGGCAAACCCAGUGCUUGCACUGGGGGUUGUAGGACUGCAAUGUGCAAGAGGUGAGUUUAGCAGAACAUUCUGGAAAGUAUAGCCAUAGAGGGUGAUAGUCCCGUAUGCGAAAAACAAACCUUAGCUAGCAGUAUCCUGAGUAGGGCGGGACACGAGAAAUCCUGUCUGAAGCUGGGUCGACCACGAUCCAACCCUAAAUACUAAUACCAGAUCGAUAGUGCACAAGUACCGUGAGGGAAAGGUGAAAAGAACUGAGGUGAUCAGAGUGAAAUAGAACCUGAAACCAUUUGCUUACAAUCAUUCAGAGCACUAUGUAGCAAUACAGUGUGAUGGACUGCCUUUUGCAUAAUGAGCCUGCGAGUUGUGGUGUCUGGCAAGGUUAAGCAAACGCGAAGCCGUAGCGAAAGCGAGUCUGAAUAGGGCGCUUAGUCAGAUGCUGCAGACCCGAAACGAAGUGAUCUAUCCAUGAGCAAGUUGAAGCUAGUGUAAGAACUAGUGGAGGACUGAACCCAUAGGCGUUGAAAAGCCCCGGGAUGACUUGUGGAUAGGGGUGAAAGGCCAAUCAAACUUCGUGAUAGCUGGUUCUCUCCGAAAUAUAUUUAGGUAUAGCGUUGUGUCGUAAUAUAAGGGGGUAGAGCACUGAAUGGGCUAGGGCAUACACCAAUGUACCAAACCCUAUCAAACUCCGAAUACCUUAUAUGUAAUCACAGCAGUCAGGCGGCGAGUGAUAAAAUCCGUCGUCAAGAGGGAAACAACCCAGACUACCAGCUAAGGUCCCUAAAUCUUACUUAAGUGGAAAACGAUGUGAAGUUACUUAAACAACCAGGAGGUUGGCUUAGAAGCAGCCAUCCUUUAAAGAAAGCGUAAUAGCUCACUGGUCUAGUGAUUUUGCGCGGAAAAUAUAACGGGGCUAAAGUAAGUACCGAAGCUGUAGACUUGCGCACAACUUAGAUUAUUUAAGUUUAGAAUAUGAGAAACUAAGUUAUAUGUUUAGUUAUAUUUUUACUGAUUUUUAUAGAGUAAAGAUAGAAAUAAAACUUAGUAAAAUCAGUAAAAAUAUUCUUAGACUAAAGUUAAGUAGUUUAAGUUGUGUGCAAGUGGUAGGAGAGCGUUCUAUUUGCGUCGAAGGUAUACCGGUAAGGAGUGCUGGAGCGAAUAGAAGUGAGCAUGCAGGCAUGAGUAGCGAUAAUUAAUGUGAGAAUCAUUAACGCCGUAAACCCAAGGUUUCCUACGCGAUGCUCGUCAUCGUAGGGUUAGUCGGGUCCUAAGUCGAGUCCGAAAGGGGUAGACGAUGGCAAAUUGGUUAAUAUUCCAAUACCAACAUUAGUGUGCGAUGGAAGGACGCUUAGGGCUAAGGGGGCUAGCGGAUGGAAGUGCUAGUCUAAGGUCGUAGGAGGUUAUACAGGCAAAUCCGUAUAACAAUACUCCGAGAACUGAAAGGCUUUUUGAAGUCUUCGGAUG